CCCUGCCCUCUUCCCCAUGGAUGAGACUCUUCCCAGCCUUGGGCAAACACAGCGGGGAGCUGGCACCAUCUCCCGCUAGACACCUCCUCCUUUUCCUCUUGCCCUUACCAUGACUCCCGAGUUAUUCUCAGAAGUAAAAGCUUUCCACGCCUGCUCUUCUCUCCUGCAGCCAGGAGUGCAAAUUUAGAUAUUGGAGCUGCUCAGGCAGAAAAAUGGCCCUGGAAUCAGGGAAGCAGAAACCUGCAGCUGCCACGAAAGGACCGCGGAGAUGAAGACCCGGAAGCUUGCAUGUGUUGAAGCCCGGGGUGUGGGGGACUGUGGUCACGUACUCGAGGGGGCUUCAGAGACCUCUGGGAAGCCCUUUCUGCCCACUCGAAGCCUGCCCCUGUGCCUGACAAUCUUCCAUCGGGAGCGAUGUCAUAAAGAAGAAAUGGAAUUCAGUGGGAAGAGUGGUGGACUCGGGGACAAAAGAUCUGGGUUUGCGCCCUGGCUCUGACCUAACUCACCAGCAUUAUUGGAGGCACGUUAGUCUUCUCAGGUCAAAGCUUCCAUCUCUCCCUGUUUCAUGAACUUAACUUCUGAGGAGUACUGGUCAGGUGUUCUGUAGGAUGUCCACCUGCUGUUGGUCUGAUGCUUUUCACAUGAGGAUUCUGGGGUGAUGCUUCCCAAGAAGAAGACCUGAGGUGAAGCAUCUUUCUCGUCUCCCAGCCUCCUGCCUCCCAAAUGGUAUUGACCUUGAUCACUCAGCUAAGGUGGCAGCUGCCAGAUUGCUCCAUUGUAGAGCUAUAAUUUUCAUCCUUUUCUUAUUUUUAGGGAGGUGGGGAGGAGAGAAAAGGAAUAUUAAGCUCCACCUCCUGGAUGGGGUUGUAUUGACUUAUGUUAUUUGGGUUUCUUCUGUAAGGAAGAUUUGUCUCUUUCCCCCCUUAAUUCCUUUGGUAAAAAUAAUUUCUCAACAUCUGCUAAAUAGCUUUCUCCAAGAUGGAUGAAGACAUGCUCCAUCAAUUGGUACUUGCCUCAAAGUCGAGUUUUAUUCAAGUUAAACUGAAGUCACUGCAAAUUCAAGCAAGAUCCCAAUAUCGACUAAGUUCCUUCUCAGAAGUCCUCCCCCAGGGUCAGGCAGAGGGGGAACUGGGUGGUGUUUCAGAUGUGGCUUUUCAAGCUGUGGCCAGAUUGGCAGCAUCAGCAUCACCUGGUAGGUUACAAAUGCAGCAACUCAGGCCCCACUUGGACCUCCUGAGUCAGACUCUGCAUUUUAACAUGACUGUGACUUGUGUGCAUGUCUAUAGUUUGACAAGUGCUGUCUUAGAACCCUAGAGCCUCUGGGAACAGAGACAAGAAGGCGAUCUUCUCCAAGCAGGGUGAUCUCUGUUGCCAGCGUACCUGCCUUGGUUCACCCCUCCUGCAUUUGUCCAGGUGGAAGAUGAUUAGGAAGGGCAGAGGAGAGGCAGGAACAGCAGAUGGCUCUGAGACGAGCCUGGGGCUGGAGGGUUGAGUGAGGUGGGCAAAGAAGGGGAGAGUGCUGGCAUAGCUGAUGGAUGACUGUGGUACCUGAGAUGGCCCUGGGGAGUUGGAUGAGAGCAGGGCCAGAGUGAUUGAUGGGCUGGGGUGGAGAGGCUGUGGAACAGCUGUAAAGAAAAAAAGGCUCUGGGUUUGGGAGUCUGCUAUGGGUGGCAGCAAAACCCAAGAGCCAUGAGAGAGAAAGUCCUCUUUCUGCAGCAGUGCUCACAAAGUCGAGUCUUGCUCUGUUGCCUAGGCUGGAGUGCAGUGGCAUGAUCUCAGCUCACUGCAACCUCCACCUCCCAGGUUCUAAGUAAUUCUCCUUCCUCAGGCUCCCUAGUAGCUGGGAUUAUGGGCACAUGCCACCACACCUGGCUAAUUUUUGUAUUUUUAGUAGAGACAGGGUUUCACCAUAUUGGCCAAAGCUGGUCUCAAACUCUUGACUUCAAAUGAUCCACCUGCCUUGGCCUCCCAAAGUGCUGGGAUUAUAGGCAUAAGCCACUGUGCCCAGCCUCGAUUCUCUUUAGAAGGUAUUCUUUUAUGGCAUCAAGUACAUUCACAUGUUUAUACAACCAUCACCAUCCAACUCCAAAACCAUUUUCAUCUUGCAAAACUGAAAUUCUGUACCCAUUAAGUACUAACUCCCCGUUCUCCCUCCCCCCUCAUCCCUGGAAACCACCAUUCUUUCUCUGAACUUGGCUACUCUAGGUGCCUCAUGAGUGGAAUUAUACAGUCUCCAGCCUUCCGUGAUCUUUCCAGCUUCAUAACUGCCUUCUGACAUGGAUGAAGCAGGAAAUGUUACUGCCUCAGGGAGAUGAGGGGAGGGAGGGAGGGUUAUGGGGGAAGUGACUUGCCCUGGGUCUCACAUCUAGUGAGUAUAUAGCACACUCAAUAGAUUCAGGAAGCCCAGAGUCCUUCCUGGGUCUGCUGCUGUGUUAGGUCAUUCUUGCAUUGCUAUAAAGAAAUAUCUGAUACGGCUGACUCUCUUUUCAGACUCAGCCCGCCUGCACCCAGGUGAAAUAAACAGCCUUGUUGCUCACACAAAGCCUGUUUGGUGGUCUCUUCACACGGACGUGAGUGAAAUUUGGUGCCGUGACUCAGAUCAGGGGACCUCCCUUGGGAGAUCAAUCCCCUGUCCUCCUGCUCUUUGCUCCAUGAGAAAGAUCCACCUACAACCUCAGGUCCUCAGACCGACCAGCCCAAGGAACAUCUCACCAAUUUCAAAUCUGGACCCCACUGAAAAUUGGACUGUUCAACUCACCCAGCAGCCACUUCCAGAGCCCCUGGAACUCUGGCCCAAGGCUCUCUGACUGACUCCUUACCAGAUCUUCUUGGCUUAGCGGCUGAAGACUGAUGCUGCCCGAUCACCUCGGAAGUCCCCUAGACCAUCAUGGAUGCCGAUCUUCAGACAGGAAUGUCAGGCCUCUGAGCCCAAGCUAAGCCAUCAUAUCCCCUGUGACCUGCACGUACACAUCCAAAUGGCUGGUUCCUGCCUUAACUGAUGACAUUCCACCACAAAAGAAGUGAAAAUGGCCUGUUCCUGCCUUAACUGAUGACAUUAUCUUGUGAAAUUCCUUCUCCUGGCUCAUCCUGGCUCAAAAGCUCCCCUACUGAGCACCUUGUGACCCCCACUCCUGCCAGCCAGAGAACAAACCCCUUUGACUAUAAUUUUCCUUUACCUACCCAAAUCCUAUAAAACGGCCCCACCUCUAUCUCCCUUUGCUGACUCUCUUUUCAGACUCAGCCCACCUGCACCCAGGUGAAAUAAACAGCUUUGUUGCUCAAAAAAAAAAAAAAAAAAAAAAAAAAAAGAGAAAUAUCUGAUACUGGGUAAUCGAUAAGGAAAGGGUUUAAUUGGCUCACAGUUCUACAGGCUGUACAGGAAACGUAAUAGCUUCGGCUUCUGUAGAGGCCUCAGGAAGCUUCCAAUCAUGGCAGAAGGCAAAGGGGGUAGCAGGCAUCUUACAUGGCAGGAGCAGGAGCAAGGGAGGGUGCUACAUACUUUUAAACAACCAGAUCAAGAACUCACCAUCACAAGAACAGCACCAAGGGGAAAUCCACCCCCGUAAUUCAAUCACCUCCCAUCAGGCCCCACCUCCAACACAGGAUUACAAUUGAACAUGAGAUUUGGGAGGGUCACAGAUACAAACCAUAUCAGCUGUGGAACAUUCUGUUCCACCUACCCUCAACCCCCUUUUCCUCGGUGGUGUGUUGAAAAGAGGGCUUGGGCUGGAAACAAAAGGAAUGGGAUUUAAGGGCUCACAUAGGUGGUGGAGGGGACCAUCUCUGAGAUUAAGAUCCAGACAGGGGAAUGAAAGAUUAAAACUUUGAAAUAUCCCUAGCACCUGCCUUGGGACCUAUAAUAAAAAGAUGCUUGGUCA
rnacentral:lncRNA from 10 species